GGCAGACGGGUGAGUAAUGUAUAGGAAUCUACCUAGUAGUACGGAAUAAUUGUUGGAAACGGCAACUAAUACCGUAUACGCCCUACGGGGGAAAAAUUUAUUGCUAUUAGAUGAGCCUAUAUUAGAUUAGUUAGUUGGUGAGGUAAAGGCUUACCAAGACAAUGAUCUAUAGCUGAUCUGAGAGGAUGAUCAGCCACACUGGAACUGAGAUACGGUCCAGACUCCUACGGGAGGCAGC
rnacentral:rRNA from 1 species